UCGGGUUUUUAAUUUGAAAAAAUCACCCGAAACCCCUAUUAAGCUACGGGUUAGUUGGGUUCGGGUCAAUCGGGUUUCAGAAUGAUAGAGUCGGUUCAAUUGGGUUGGUCGGGUUGAUACUGGUAAUCCAUUAUGUAAUCUAAUUUUCCUAUUUUCAUAAUCUAUUAGAGAUAAAUAAACAUUACAUUCUUUUUAACUAACUUGGUUGAAUUUAUCAUUCACAUAAGGUUUACUUUUGAAGCAGUUUGUUUAUCAUUAUGGCGGAACAUUUUGAACAUUUUGGGUGCAUGAAUAAUAGAAAGUCCAUGCAAGUGAUUCUAGGAAGAAAGAAAGUGCACAUCUUAUUUAAUUAAACAUUUUGGUGGUAUUACUCAUAUAUCAAUUGCAAAUUAACAAACGAAUUAAAAAUAGUAUCAAACAUGAUGCGUCAAAAGCCAAGAGUGAGGAAAAAAAAGCCAACAGUGAGAAUGUUAUAACAUAAAUUAAUAAGUAUAAUAUAGAUUCACUAGAAAGAUAAAAAAUGAUUUAGUUAAUAGGAUCGUAUUUAUUAAUGAUCUAACAUGGCAUUUCAAGUACUUGAUGAGAUUAAGUAUUAUUAUUCGGGUUAUUCGGGUCAACCCGAACCUGAAAAAAAUGAUAUACAACGAACCCAAACCCGACCCUAAUUAUAGUUCGGGUUUAUCGGGUUAACCCAAAUAACCCGACUAUGAAUUUUUGACCCUAUUAAACUCGACCCAUUUAAGCUUAUUCCGGUUUGGAUCGGAUCGGGUUAGUCAGGUUCGGGUAGUUUUGACACCCCUAAUUAUGAUUUCGCAAAUAAUCAAUCAAAUUAUCUUUAAUCUUUCAAUCAUCAGGUCCAUCCUAUACUCCUCAAAGUUCUUCCUUUGAAAAAAGAUUAUGAGGAAUCCAACCACUAGGUACUUGUAUAAAAUGUUUUCUCGUUAUAUAAAACAUGUAUAAUGAUGGUUUUCUGGUAUUCUAAUAAAAAGAAAGAAAGAAUGUAAUUGACAUUGACUAAUUUCUCAUCAUUCUUUUAUUCGGUUGACCAUUAGGCGUGGUUUGUACUUGCGUUUGUUUCUUGUUCACAGAGAGUGGUGACACACGAGGUGAACUUGAAUUUACAUGAGCAUCUAUUUGAACUACACGUUUGUUUGGAAUUGAUAAGUGAAGAGGUAAGGGAUUAUUGGAGAAGGAUUCUGCUGUAACUUUCCUCUUUGAAGGUAAUAAUGGCUUCUGUUGGCCUACACUAAGUGAUGAGUCUUGAUUGGAAAUAGGUUCCAUUUGAAGAGGUGUUUAUAAUGGCUGAGAUGCAAUGCUGCUCAUGUCUACUGGACUAGAUGAAAAAAGCUAUCCAGCAUACCCCAUUGACUUCCAGGAUUAUAGUCUACAAUAAAAAAAAAAAAGAAUUCAGGGAUAUGAGAAACUUCACUCAGGAAUGCCAUAACACAGGAACAAGAAAGAUUUUGGAGUACAUGGAGUGUAUUAUAACAAGUCAAACGUAUGAAUGAAGCCAAAGCUGGAAGAGUCACAGUAAGGCCGUUGGAUCAGGCUGCCACAACUUGUAAUGUUGAUGAUAGCAAACGUCAAGCAUCACACAUGACUCCCCGUUAGCAAAUGAGAAGUAGCUUGUUGAUCAUUACAGCUCCAAGCAUCCAAAGGAGAAGCCUCCAGCUUGUAAAUGGGGUUUUGUGUUGUCUUUUUUUCUUUUUCAUUUGCAUGAUGAUGAUAUGUCUAGUGUUUCUUUUGCUUUGACAUUUUUAUAACAGUUACUCACUAUUGGAAUAAUAAUUUGUAUUUGAGAUAUUACUGAAAUGAAUUAUCUUUGUUAUUUAUGGUAUUUUAUUUUGUAUUAUGAGAUUUUUAAUGUAUUAUUUAAUUUGAAAAUAAGUAAAUCUAUAAAUAAUAUUUUUUUUAAACAUUUAAAAUUAUGAUACGCAAAAAUGUGUGUCAUCUUCAUUUAUGACAUGACCUUUCUUGACAAGGGCUUUCUUGAUACAUAUUGCGUGUCAUUAACACGCGCGUCGUAAGGUUACGACACGCGAAUGCGUGUCGUCUUCCUUUAUAAUAGGUCCUUCCUUGAUACGCAUUGCGUGUCGUGAACGCACGUCGUAAUUGCGCUUCGUAAAUGCGCGUCCU